UCCCGCCAGCGGCGGGGAAGGAGGCGGCGCCAUGUUGGCUCCCUCAGCGGGCAGCGCCAGGGUCUGAGCGCUGGCCACAUCCAGCCGCGCGGCACUGCGGGCUGCGAAGGAAACCCGCUGCAAAAGGGCUGGGGGUGCUGGCUGACAGGCAGCUAGACAAGCACUGGAAGGAGCUGCUGGAGUCCCCACCCCUGGCGGUGUCCAAGGAACAACUGGAUGUGACACUGAGUGCUCUGGGGCUGGGUGACAAGGGGGGAUUGCUCACAGCUUGGACCUUCUGGGAGGUGUUCUCCAGAGCCUGCUGAAUGAAAGGAACACCGAGACAAGCCAAGUAAAGCAGGAGUGUUUCAAUUAUA